UUUGGUUUUAUUAGUGAUCGUGAGACAAGGACAAGUGUAACAAGAUUUCUGUUUUGUUAGGAGGUCCGUUUGAUAUCUUCCCCAUGCGUAAGUAGCAUAUGUAACAACUCCAAUGAUGAUUGAACCUGGAUCAAGUCGAGGCACGUGAAAGGAUACAAUAUUGCCUUUAUGUAGAUCGCCGAACCACGUUGGAAUCUCAUUUCCUGGUAGGAAGAUGCUGUAUAAGCCCC
rnacentral:misc_RNA from 1 species